CGUCGUCACGCGUGGUUGUCCAGCAAAUGGCUGAAAAAACAAGGGGGAGAGAGAGAACAAGAGGGCGGAUGGAUUUUAUUAAACGACGCAGAUGGAAACAGUAUAAUCGCCUCGAGGUUGCAUCUCUUCCUCUUCUCUUCUUCUUCCUCCUCCAGCAGCAGCAGCUCCUCAUCCGGUCCAACUGACGAACCAUUGAUGAUGAUGAUGAUGAUGAUGAUGUCCACAAUAUCUGAGUGAAGACAAAUCAAGACACAAACAUUUACGGAUACAUUUUUCCAUCUUGGGGGGGGUCAACCGAGGGGAGCUCCUGUUCUGCGAGAGGAGCUGGUGAAAAUCCAGGUGAACCUGUGACUUGUUAGAGCAACGGCUCCUCUGAAGCCCCUGCAGCACAUAUUCAAGAUGACAGAAGAAUAAACUUCCCCAGCUGCCGCUCAGAUGAUCCAUCCGUCCAUCAUCCUUCCGUUCAUCAUCCAUCC